AUAAGAAGAUAUUGAAUCUAUUUUUAUCUUGUUUUAUGUCUCAUUACGUAAAAGUUUAUAUUUAUUAAUUACUUAUAAACCUUAUAGAUUAACCUUUGCACAAUUAUUUUUUAAUUUACCUAUUAUUAUUAUUUUUAGAGGAACUCAGUACGUAUUUUAUUAAUUUUUUGUUUAAAAUAUUAUGUGUUAGAUUUUUGUUUUGUAAGACGUAUUUUAUUAAAUUAUUUUUUCCACUUAACCAUGUGAAAUAAAAAUAGUAAAAUAUAAGUACCUCAGUGUUUGUCUUAAAAAAAAGAUAAAAAAUUUUUUUUUUUAUUUGAAUUUAAAGUUUACUUACUGAAUCACUGUUGAUAUUUUUUCGUAAUUUUGAAUCACAGUAAUAUUACAUUCUGUUUAGAAAUAGAUAAUAUUAUAUUUGCCUAUGUCCUAUUUUAAACUAACCUUAACCAUGUUACACCACUACAAGUACACAGGCUUUAUACGUAUCCAUAUUUGGAUAGAACAUCUCUUUCAAGUAUAGUCAUAAUGGUCAAUAUGAUAUCGGUCCUUUGGUAAAAAGAGCAUACGUUGCUACACCUAUGUGUACACAUUUGAUAGCUAUUACUUACACCUACCUUAUUUACAAGUAAACUUUAAUGAGAUAAUAUUUACUUAAGAGAAUUAUAUCAAUAAUAAUAAAGUUUCAUACGAAAAUACGACUCCCAUUACUUGUUAGUUAAUUUACUCUGUCUUACAAAUGUACAAUAUAGCACCUAGCUAAUAUAGGUAAUAGAAUCUAAGUACAAUAUUUUAAAUCUUUGAAUUGGACUAAGUUUGAAAAUAAUAUACAAGUUCUAUAAACUACCAAUUUUAUAUCUUCAUAAAUUAUUUCCCAAGAGAUAAUUAUGCAUCAUUUUACAAAAAUUAUGUACAUAUUUAUACUUCUAUAUUUUUUAGCUGAAUCAUUCACCUAUUUAGGAAAUGGUUAUCAAACAUUUAUCAAUAAUAAUAAUAAAAAUUAUGAGGAUCCUUUAACAAAAUACUGUGAAAACAUCUACAAAUAAUUUAUACAAUGAUUUUAAAAAUAAUUUGAAUUUGAAUUCAUUUUAUAUAUUUUAAUAAUUGAUAUUUAAAUUAAUAAAUUGUUGUCAAUAUUUGAACUUCAAAUGCUAAUAAAAAAAAAUUGUGCCUAUGUAUUCUUAUAAUUUUUUAAUCACUAUAAGAAUAACCUAUGAGAAACUUUGUAUUAAAUUUUCAAGUAU